AGGACGAACGCUGGCGGCGUGCCUAACACAUGCAAGUCGAACGAGGUCCAAUCUGUAGCAAUACAGAUGAAGACCAAGUGGCGAACGGGUGAGUAGCACGUGAGCAACCUGCCCCGAAGACCGGGACAACACCGGGAAACCGGUGCUAAUACCGGAUAUCCCCACCGAGUCGCAUGGCUUGGUGAGGAAAUGGAUUCCGCUUCGGGAGGGGCUCGCGGCCUAUCAGCUUGUUGGUGAGGUAAUGGCUCACCAAGGCUUCGACGGGUAGCUGGUCUGAGAGGACGAUCAGCCACACUGGGACUGAGACACGGCCCAGACUCCUACGGGAGGCAGCAGUGGGGAAUCUUGCACAAUGGGCGAAAGCCUGAUGCAGCAACGCCGCGUGAGGGACGAAGGCUUUCUGAGUUGUAAACCUCUUUCAGCAGGGACGAUUGUGACGGUACCUGCAGAAGAAGCCCGGCAACUACGUGCCAGCAGCCG
rnacentral:rRNA from 1 species